AUUUCCUUACCAGUUGAACCUGCAGUGUUUUUUUUUAUUGUUAUUGUUCACCGGCUCCCCGAUGCCAAUCUUACCCAUUUAACCGGCUUGCCAAAAGAUCUUUUUUAGUGUUUUAGUAUCUAAGCAAAGACUCCAUCAAUGGAUUCAAAACUAUGGUAGUUGGGAGUCAAAGGUUUGUUGUGUCCUGGUUGUUUACAUAAGUAUUGAUGCUUUCCACAGAAUGUCAUCUCUCUACAUCUUGUCCCCCUUCACUUGUGAUGGCUGAUCAGCUGAAGCAUACAAAAAUGACUGCUCACAGGAGACUGGCUACUCUCUUCAUUGAAGAAGAGAUUCUUAACAACCCUGUACUAUAUAUUAUUCAUAGAAAAAAUAAACUUUAAAUAGGCAAGAGAAGGUGAGAGAAGAACAGAAGCUGCAGAGUCCUGAAAGAGCACAGAAAAAUGAUCUCAUGUAGAGAUUAUUCCAAGAAUUACCUUCUCCCCAAGCUACAACCAUGCACAUGAGCAGAGGCUGCCUAUUGCAGGAGGCAACUAGCCAUCCAGUCCAGUCUCCAGAAUGAAUCCUGGGGUAUAGUCAACACAGACAGCAUCAGAGUGGCACAGAGAGCCACCCACAGCACAAGACUGCAUUGUAUCUUCUUCAACAACUACACCAUCCACACCAAUGUCUGGCUCCUGUGCAUUCUCACUCAAACUCAGUUGUCCAACACGAUACAUCCAGACCCUGGGUUGCCACAGUUACUCCACCUGAAGAGAAAUUAGAUAAAAAUAGCCAGCCCUUUGAACAAAAAAAAAUAAAUAAAUAAAUAAAAAAAAAAAAUAAUAAUAAAAUAAAUAAAAGAGAUAAAGGGUAUACUAUAUUUACAAAAAAAGUUUAAAAUAUAUUAGUUCACAGUACCUCAUUAAUUGUUAUAUCAGUUACAAAGCAAGAAUAUCAAGGAAAAAUUGCAUAAAAUACACUGUAUAAUUAUAUAAACAAUGUACUAAUACUUUAGGCAUUUAUGACAGGUUUAGAAUGCAUCUGACUCAAACAAGAAAAAUUAAAAAUAUUGCCAAGAAUACUACUACUUGAUAAUCAAGAAUUGAUGUUGCCAUGAUACAUAAAUAAUGCUUAAUACUGAUACAAAAAUGUAAUUAUCAACUGUUCAAUUGGCUGAGACUGUCAACAACAAAGGAAACUUCAAUGGAAUGUAAUGAAAACAUCUCCCUGCAAACUCAUAAUAAAGAUAGCGUAAAAGUGC